rnacentral:rRNA from 1 species
AUGCACGCUGGCGGCGUGCUUAACACAUGCAAGUCGAACGGAAAGGCCCAAGCUUGCUUGGGUACUCGAGUGGCGAACGGGUGAGUAACACGUGGGUGAUCUGUCCUGCACUUCGGGAUAAGCCUGGGAAACUGGGUCUAAUACCGGAUAGGACCACUUCUUGGAUGUUGUGGUGGAAAGUUUUUUCGGUGUGGGAUGAGCUCGCGGCCUAUCAGCUUGUUGGUGGGGUAAUGGCCUACCAAGGCGUCGACGGGUAGCCGGCCUGAGAGGGUGUACGGCCACAUUGGGACUGAGAUACGGCCCAGACUCCUACGGGAGGCAGCAGUGGGGAAUAUUGCACAAUGGGCGCAAGCCUGAUGCAGCGACGCCGCGUGGGGGAUGACGGCCUUCGGGUUGUAAACUCCUUUCGCUAGGGACGAAGCGUUAUGUGACGGUACCUGGAGAAGAAGCACCGGCUAACUACGUG